CUUCUCUGAUGUUAGCGGCGGACGGGUGAGUAACACGUGGAUAACCUACCUAUAAGACUGGGAUAACUUCGGGAAACUGGGGCUAAUACCGGAUAGGAGCUCCUGCUGCAUGGUGGGGGUUGGAAAGUUUCGGCGGUUGGGGAUGGACUCGCGGCUUAUCAGCUUGUUGGUGGGGUAGUGGCUUACCAAGGCUUUGACGGGUAGCCGGCCUGAGAGGGUGACCGGCCACAUUGGGACUGAGAUACGGCCCAG
rnacentral:rRNA from 1 species